rnacentral:rRNA from 1 species
AUACGGAGGGUGCAAACGUUAAUCGGAAUUACUGGGCGUAAAGCGCGCGUAGGUGGUUUAGUAAGUCGGAUGUGAAAGCCCUGGGCUCAACCUGGGAAUUGCAUUCGAUACUGCUUGACUAGAGUAUGGUAGAGGGAAGUGGAAUUUCCGGUGUAGCGGUGAAAUGCGUAGAUAUCCGGAGGAACACCAGUGGCGAAGGCGACUUCCUGGGCCAAUACUGACGCUGAGGUGCGAAAGCGUGGGGAGCAAACAGGAUUAGAAACCCCGGUAGUCC